rnacentral:lncRNA from 1 species
CUAGUAAAACUCUCAAAUUAGAAUUCUCUAUCCUUUCCCUACACAGAAACAGUAUUCAAUAAAGGAUCUGGUUUGUGGGCUUCUUUUUUAAACCAGCUAUCUGCCUAUCUGUUCUUGAUUCUCCAGGGUUACUAAGAAAAUGCAGGAAAACAAUUCAUAGCUUAAAAGAGGUUAAAAAAUAACACACUGAACUAUCUCUUAGGCAAGUUUUCUUUUCCAAUGUUAUGGCACAAAGGGAGGCUAAGUAAAAGGAUUCAUGCCACAGAAUUUUCAAUAACAAAAAAAUCAUUUAUAGAGAGGAAAUGACUAAAAAUUAACAAUGUUUUAUGGCACAGAAUAUGAAUCUACAGCUAGGAUAAAAGGGAUGAUAUUUCUUUAAGUGGUAGAAACUGUAAACUAAAUGAUAUAGAAGAGAUUACUACUGUAAGAAGAAACCUUUAAAAAGAAAAUAUAAUCUCCAUUACCACUUAACCAAACAUAGAUUCUUGCUAAGAAUAAACUUAAACUCAAUUUGCUUACAUCAUUUAUGUUUCACAAAGGCCCAAUCACUAGUAAAGUCAUUCUUUUGCUACCUUUUCCUCCUCUUACAUACUCAGUAUAACAAUUUUUUGAGUCAUUUACUGUCUUGUGUGCCUAUAA